GAUGAACGCUAGCGGCAGGCCUAAUACAUGCAAGUCGAACGCGGGGUAGCAAUACCUCGAGUGGCGCACGGGUGCGUAACGCGUAACCAACCUGCCCUUGACUGGGGGAUAGCCCGCCGAAAGGCGGAUUAAUACCGCAUAAACCAGCAGCCUGGCAUCAGGCAACUGGUAAAGAUUUAUUGGUCAAGGAUGGGGUUGCGUGACAUUAGCUAGUUUGCGGGGUAACGGCCCACCAAGGCGACGAUGUCUAGGGGACCUGAGAGGGUGAUCCCCCACACGGGCACUGAGAUGCGGGCCAGACUCCUACGGGAGGCAGCAGUAGGGAAUAUUGGGCAAUGGGCGAGAGCCUGACCCAGCCAUGCCGCGUGCCGGAUGAAGGCCUUCUGGGUUGUAAACGGCUUUUCUCAGGGAAGAAAACGACCAUGCGUGGUACACUGACGGUACCUGAGGAAUAAGCACCGGCUAACUCCGUGCCAGCCGCCGCCGUAACAC
rnacentral:rRNA from 1 species